AACGAACGCUGGCGGCGCGCCUAAUACAUGCAAGUCGAGCGAGAAGACGUAGCAAUACGUUUGUAAAGCGGCGAACGGGUGAGGAAUACAUGGGUAACCUACCCUCGAGUGGGGAAUAACUAGCCGAAAGGUUAGCUAAUACCGCGUACGCUCCUUGGACUUCGGUUCAGGGAGGAAAGCGAUACCGUGGGUAUCGCGCUCUUGGAUGGGCUCAUGUCCUAUCAGCUUGUUGGUGAGGUAACGGCUCACCAAGGCUUCGACGGGUAGCUGGUCUGAGAGGACGAUCAGCCACACUGGCACUGCGACACGGGCCAGACUCCUACGGGAGGCAGCAGUAAGGAAUAUUGCGCAAUGGGCAAAGCCUGACGCAGCGACGCCGCGUGGGGGAUGAAGGUCUUCGGAUUGUAAACCCCUUUCGGGAGGGAAGA
rnacentral:rRNA from 1 species